GGUGACUGCGUACCUUUUGUAUAAUGGGUCAGCGACUUAUAUUCUGUAGCAAGGUUAACCGAAUAGGGGAGCCGAAGGGAAACCGAGUCUUAACUGGGCGUUAAGUUGCAGGGUAUAGACCCGAAACCCGGUGAUCUAGCCAUGGGCAGGUUGAAGGUUGGGUAACACUAACUGGAGGACCGAACCGACUAAUGUUGAAAAAUUAGCGGAUGACUUGUGGCUGGGGGUGAAAGGCCAAUCAAACCGGGAGAUAGCUGGUUCUCCCCGAAAGCUAUUUAGGUAGCGCCUCGUGAACUCAUCUUCGGGGGUAGAGCACUGUUUCGGCUAGGGGGUCAUCCCGACUUACCAACCCGAUGCAAACUGCGAAUACCGAAGAAUGUUAUCACGGGAGACACACGGCGGGUGCUAACGUCCGUCGUGAAGAGGGAAACAACCCAGACCGCCAGCUAAGGUCCCAAAGUCAUGGUUAAGUGGGAAACGAUGUGGGAAGGCACAGACAGCCAGGAUGUUGGCUUAGAAGCAGCCAUCAUUUAAAGAAAGCGUAAUAGCUCACUGGUCGAGUCGGCCUGCGCGGAAGAUGUAACGGGGCUAAACCAUGCACCGAAGCUGCGGCAGCGACACUAUGUGUUGUUGGGUAGGGGAGCGUUCUGUAAGCCGUUGAAGGUGGCCUGUGAGGGUUGCUGGAGGUAUCAGAAGUGCGAAUGCUGACAUAAGUAACGAUAAUGCGGGUGAAAAACCCGCACGCCGGAAGACCAAGGGUUCCUGUCCAACGUUAAUCGGGGCAGGGUGAGUCGACCCCUAAGGCGAGGCCGAAAGGCGUAGUCGAUGGGAAACAGGUUAAUAUUCCUGUACUUGGUGUUACUGCGAAGGGGGGACGGAGAAGGCUAUGUUAGCCGGGCGACGGUUGUCCCGGUUUAAGCAUGUAGGCGGAGAUUCCAGGUAAAUCCGGAGUCUUGUUAACGCUGAGGUGUGAUGACGAGGCACUACGGUGCUGAAGUAACAAAUGCCCUGCUUCCAGGAAAAGCCUCUAAGCAUCAGGUAACACAAAAUCGUACCCCAAACCGACACAGGUGGUCAGGUAGAGAAUACCAAGGCGCUUGAGAGAACUCGGGUGAAGGAACUAGGCAAAAUGGUGCCGUAACUUCGGGAGAAGGCACGCUGAUAUGUAGGUGAAGUGAUUUACUCAUGGAGCUGAAAUCAGUCGAAGAUACCAGCUGGCUGCAACUGUUUAUUAAAAACACAGCACUGUGCAAACACGAAAGUGGACGUAUACGGUGUGACGCCUGCCCGGUGCCGGAAGGUUAAUUGAUGGGGUUAUCCGUAAGGAGAAGCUCUUGAUCGAAGCCCCGGUAAACGGCGGCCGUAACUAUAACGGUCCUAAGGUAGCGAAAUUCCUUGUCGGGUAAGUUCCGACCUGCACGAAUGGCGUAAUGAUGGCCAGGCUGUCUCCACCCGAGACUCAGUGAAAUUGAACUCGCUGUGAAGAUGCAGUGUACCCGCGGCAAGACGGAAAGACCCCGUGAACCUUUACUAUAGCUUGACACUGAACACUGGUCCUUGAUGUGUAGGAUAGGUGGGAGGCUUUGAAGUGUGGACGCCAGUCUGCAUGGAGCCAUCCUUGAAAUACCACCCUUUAAUGGCUGGUGUUCUAACGUGGGCCCGUGAUCCGGGUUGCGGACAGUGUCUGGUGGGUAGUUUGACUGGGGCGGUCUCCUCCUAAAGAGUAACGGAGGAGCACGAAGGUUAGCUAAUCCUGGUCGGACAUCAGGAGGUUAGUGCAAAGGCAUAAGCUAGCUUGACUGCGAGAGUGACGGCUCGAGCAGGUGCGAAAGCAGGUCUUAGUGAUCCGGUGGUUCUGAAUGGAAGGGCCAUCGCUCAACGGAUAAAAGGUACUCCGGGGAUAACAGGCUGAUACCGCCCAAGAGUUCAUAUCGACGGCGGUGUUUGGCACCUCGAUGUCGGCUCAUCACAUCCUGGGGCUGAAGUAGGUCCCAAGGGUAUGGCUGUUCGCCAUUUAAAGUGGUACGCGAGCUGGGUUUAGAACGUCGUGAGACAGUUCGGUCCCUAUCUGCCGUGGGCGCUGGAGAAUUGAGGGGGGCUGCUCCUAGUACGAGAGGACCGGAGUGGACGCAUCACUGGUGUUCGGGUUGUCAUGCCAAUGGCAUUGCCCGGUAGCUAAAUGCGGAAGAGAUAAGUGCUGAAAGCAUCUAAGCACGAAACUUGCCCCGAGAUGAGUUCU
rnacentral:rRNA from 1 species